AACUUCACCUUCAACUCAACUCCAAACUUUUUAAAUUUUCAUGGCUACAUAGAUUAUUGCUUAGUGAAUUUGCUGUUUGGAUACUACAGAUCCCUAAUCAGCCUUUAAUCACAGAAUUUAUCUGUGCGAAAUCACUCUCUCCAUUGCAUCUAUACCGCCAGUUAAACAAACUAUGGAGAAAGAACACAGCGACCUCCUCCCCCGAAACCCUACUCCGGCGCCGGCGACCACCGCAGUAGCCGCCGGAAACCAACAGCCACUGCAGCAAUCAACUCGUCCACGUCCUAAACGCUUCGUAAAGAACCAAAUCCCCGACUCCAUUCUUAACAACACAGCACUCAACGCCGCCAUAUCACUUCUCCCUCAAAACUACAACUUCGAAAUCCACAAGUGCGUGUGGCGCGUGCAGAACUCACGCGCCAAGCGCGUCGCCCUUCAGUUCCCCGAAGGCCUCCUCAUGUACUCACUCAUCAUCUCCGAUAUACUCUCUACGUUCACUUCCGUCGAACACUGUUUCAUCCUCGGUGACGUCACUUACGGUGCGUGUUGCGUCGAUGACCUCUCCGCGGCGGCGCUUUCUGCUGAUUUGCUCAUACAUUUUGGCCAUAGCUGCCUCGUGCCUAUUGAUUCUACGACUAUCCCAUGCCUUUAUAUAUUUGUCGAAAUUUCGAUUGAUGUUCAUAGGUUGUUAAAUGAACUGAAACUCAAUUUCUGUAAUUCUAGAAUUUACGAUAAUAUUGUUAUGGCUGGGACAAUUCAAUUUGCUACUGCUAUUCGGGCGGUUAAGCCCGAACUUGAGAAAUUAGGGUUUAGUGUUUUGGUUCCUCAGGCGAAACCGUUAUCAGCUGGGGAAGUACUUGGAUGUACUGCCCCGAGUGUUAGGAACAGGAUUGCUGAUGGGGAGGAUGUGGUUUUGGUGUUUGUAGCUGAUGGUAGGUUUCAUUUGGAGGCGUUUAUGAUAGCGAAUCCAGGGAUAAAGACGUAUAGAUAUGAUCCGUUUAUAGGGAAGUUGUUUGUGGAGGAAUAUGAUCAUAAGGGAAUGAAGGAGGAGAGGAAGAGAGCGAUUGAGAAGGCGAGGGAGGCGAAAAAUUGGGGUAUAGUGCUUGGGACAUUAGGUAGGCAAGGGAAUCCGAGGAUAUUGGAUAGGUUAGAGAAGAAGAUGGCAGAGAAGGGGAUGACUUGGACGGUUGUGUUGAUGUCGGAGAUAUCUCCUACGAGGAUUGCAUUGUUUGAGGAUGCAGUAGAUGCUUGGAUUCAGAUUGCGUGUCCGAGGUUGUCAAUCGAUUGGGGAGAUGCGUUUAAGAGGCCUUUGCUAACGCCAUUUGAGGCGGAGAUUGCAUUGGGUGAGUUGUCUGGGUGGUGGGAGAGGAAGACAGUAGUGAAUUCAGAUGAAUGUUGUGAUGAAGGUGUGAAGUGUUCAAAGAAUGAAUCUUGUGGUGCUUGUGAUAAUGGUGGUGAAGAAGUGAAGGAACGGGUACCCGUGGAUUAUCCGAUGGAUUAUUAUGCUCAGGAUGGUGGGGAGUGGAAUUCUUGCUACUCGAAGAAGCCUGCUCGACUUUCACAAAGAAGUAGUCAAUCUUGUAAUGGUAACAGUGCCAUCAAAUGUUCCCAUUGUUGAACUAAUUUGUUUCCAGCUGAAUACAUUGCUGUAUCAUAAAUGGAGUUACACUUCAAAAUACAUUAUGCCGCACACCUUGCACCUAGGGCCCAUUGAUGCUUCAUUACUUACAUUACAAUGGUCUCACCGAUCGCAGGACUUAUGAGAUGACUAUAUUUAUCCCACUGAGGUCGUGUGUCCGCAGAAGGUUGAGUCGACAUGGAAUAUAUUUUAUAACCCCCUACCCCACGACCGCGUCAUACAUUAUGUAUCGAGGGCAGGGUUAUAUGACAUCAUUAGAAUAGGAAAGAUCCAGUUUGAUCACCCAUUAGCAAUUACUCUGGUCGAGAGGUGGAGACCAGAGACUCACACUUUUCAUCGACCAUUUGGAGAGGUCACUAUUACACUAUAGGAUGUGGAGGUGUUAUUUGGACUACAUACUGACGGAAAUGCAGUUGCAUAUGCCGAUGAAAUGGAUCGUAAUUUAGAUUGGCGUACUAUGUUAUGAGAUUUCACUGGCUUGGAGGUUGAACUGGCGGUCAUUAAUGGACAUGAUCGUAUUUCUAUUAUUACAGUUUUGAAUUAUCUUCUUCAACAAUUUUUACUUCAUCCCAUUACCGUCAAGACAUCAGAGGACAGGGUUCAGAGCAUUGCUCGGCUGUAUAUGGUGUUGCUUAUGGGAGGGAUUCUUUUCACAAAUACAUCUGGCAGUAUAUUGAGCUUGCGAUACUUGUAUUUUCUUAGGGACCUGAAUAGGACUGGGACUAUAGUUGGGGUAGCGCUGUUCUAGCAUACUUAUAUAAGUAUCUUUGUCGGGUAUCCAUGUGCGCUAAUUAGCUAGGAGGACUUGUUUCUCUCCUUCGGGUAACCUUUUUUAUUAUGUAAAUUUAAGUUGAUUAAUAAUUUGUUUACUUAAAAAUAAUUUUGAUGUAAUGAUUAAAUUUGGACUUUGGAGAGGAUUCAGCCGUUCAGGCUAGAGCCGAUUGGGUCGAUUGCUGAGGACUAGCCCGUGCUUCCAUAUGCUAGAAAAUGGACACGAGGGAUCCAACAUGAUUCUGAGGCACACCAUACUGUAGUCUCAAUGAGAGAUCAGCUUGAUCAUAUGAUGGAGGAGCAGGUAUAUUUUAUUUAUGUUAUAUUGUGUUGUGUGGCGUGUGCGAUCAUAUUUAUAUGGGAGAAAUAUCUCGUGUGCAAUUUGUUUCAUCGAAAUGUGUCAUGUGGGGCCAUUUUAUGUUGUUGUUAAUGUUAUGUCAAAUUAUUGAUUGUAUAGGCUUAUGAGAUGUCUUUUUUUAUUGAAAUGUGCCUUGUGUGGUCAUUUUGUAUUGUUGUUACUGUUAUGUUAAAUUAUUGAUUGUAUAGGCUUGUGAGAAGAUUUUUUUAUUGAAAUGUGUCGUGUGAGACCAUUUAUGUUGUUGUUAAUGUUAUGUUAAAUUAUUGAUUGUAUAGGCCUGUGAGAUAUUUUUUUUUAUUGAAAAGUGUCGUGUGGGGCCAUUUUAUAUUGUUGUUACUGUUAUAUUAAAUUAUUGAUUGUAUAAGUCUGUGAAAAGUCUUCUUUUAUUGAAAUAUGCCGCGUGGGGUCAUUUUAUAUUGUUGUUAUUGUUAUGUAAAAUUGUUGCUUGUAUAGCCAUUCGAAAAGCCCUUUCUAAUUAAAAUAUGUUGUGGGGUCAUUUUAUUGACGGACAGUUUUUUGAAAUACGCUAGAAACAAAGGAAACUUUGUCAAAAUUUUUAUAAAUUUAAAGAGAUUUACAAUUUUAAUGACUUAUACAAGAGCAAUAAAGUUAGAUUAAUUUAAUAACUUGGUCUUGUAUUAAUGUAACUUUAUUGGUUUCGUAUAAGUCAAUAAAAUUGUAAAUCUCUUUAAAUUUACAAAAAUUUCGGCAAAGUUGCCUUUGUUUCUAGCGUAUUUCAAAAAUUUGUCCCUGUCAAUCAACACCAUAUAAGAUAAUACUUUUACAUAAUAGUAACAACAUUAUAAAAUAGCCCCACACGACACAUUUUAAUUAAAAAAGGGUUUUUCGCCCUGCUAUUCCAGCAAUAAUUUUACAUAAAAAUAUAAAAUGGCCCCACACGACACACUAAAAAAAAAGACUUCUCACAGGCCUAUACAAUCAAUAAUUUAAUAUAACAGUAACGACAAUAUAAAAUGGCCCCACAAGACACUUUUCAAUUUAAAAAAAAAAAGACAUCUUGCAGUCCUAUACAAUCAAUAAUUUAACAUGACAUUAACAACAAUAUAAAUGACCCCAUACGAUACAUUUCAAUAAAAAAAAUCUUCUCACAGGCCUAUACAAUCAAUAAUUUAACAUAACAGUAACAACAAUACAAAAUGGUCACGACACAUUUCAAUAAAAAAAGACAUUUCAUAAGCCUAUACAAUCAAUAAUUUAACAUAUUAACAACAACAUAAAAUGACCUCACAUGACACAUUUCGAUAAAACAAAAAUUACAUACGAGAUGUUUCUCCCAUAUAAAUAUGAUCUCACACGCCACACAACACAAUAUAUCAUAAAUAAAAUAUAUCUGCUCCUCCAUCAUAUGACAAGAUGGUUUCUCAUUGGGACUACAACAUGGAGUGCCUCAAAAUCGUGUUGAAUUCCUUGUGUCCAUUUUCUAGCAUAUAGAAGCAUGGGCUAAUCGUCUCUGUCCUGAACGACCGAAUCCUCUUCCAAAUCCAAUCGUUACAUCGAAAUUAUUUUUAAGUAAACAAAUAAUUAAUCAACUUAAGUUUACAUAAUAAGAAAGGUUACUCGAAGGAGAGGAACAAAUCCUCUUAGCUGAUUAGCGCACAUGGAUACUCGACAAAGAGAUCUAUAUAAAUAUGCUAGAACAACGCUGCCUCAGCUAUAGUCCCCUGUCCAGGUUCCUAAGAAAAUAUAAGUAUCGCAAGCUCAAUAGACUGCCAGAUAUAUUUGUAUGAAGAAUCCCUCCUAUAAGCAACACCAUAUAUAGUCGAGCAAUGCUCUGAACCCUGUCCUCUGAUGUCUUAACAGUAGCGGGAUGAAGUAAAAGUUGUUGUCGAAGAUAAUUCAGAACUGUAACAAAUAGAAAUACGACCAUGUCCAUUAAUGACCGUCAGUUCAACCUCCAAGCUAGUGAAAUCUAACAUAGUAUGCCAAUCUAAAUUAUGAUCCAUUUCAUCGGCAUAUGCAACUGCAUCUCCGUCAGUACAUAGUCCAAAUAACACCUCCACAUCCUAUAGUGUAAUAGUGACCUCUCCAAAGGAUAGAUGGAAAGUGUGAGUCUCUGACCUCCACACCUCUCGAUCAUAACAAAUUGUUAGUGGGUGAUCAAACCAGAUCUUUCCUAUUCUAAUGAUGUCAUAUAACCCCACCCUCGAAAUAUAAUGUAUGACACGACCGUGGGGUGGGGGUUAUAAAAUAUGUCCUAUGUCAACUCAACCUUCUAUGGACACACGACCUCAGUGGGAUGAAUAUAGUAAUUUCAUAAGUCCUGCAACCGGUGAGACCGUUGUAAUGUAAGUAAUGAAGCAUCAAUGGGUCAUGGGUCCAAGGCGUACAACAUAAUGUAUCUAUGCAUAUAAUAUUAAAUAUUGGGACCAUAGUGAAAAGUAAUACACAUUCAAUGAAAUAAUUAAUGUAUGUGCAAAUUCUUUUCUUAUAACACGAUUGAAACACAAAGAAAUGAAUUGUUAAUAGCUAAUGCAUUUAGUUUCAAUCAGAUCUUUAUGUUCUUAUAACUGAUCAUCAGUUUCCUAUUGUUGUGUUAUUUCAGCUAUUUCCUUGGUUUCGAAUUGGAUACUUCUUUAUGUGGACAGGAAUUUAUGUUAUUUUUCAA